UUAACUGAAUAUAGAUGUAAAUGAAACAAGUGAUAUUGAUCCUUGGAACUCCUCCCCGAAUCAGUUGCUGCCCUAAAAGACUUGAAGUAAUUUUGGUUUUCUAACUUGUGUGUUCUUUUCUUUGUUAGCAGUUUCUUUCUCAAAAUAUUUAAGCAUGCAUUUUACGCAAAUUAGGCGUUUAUCGAGCUUUGCAAGCAAUUUGAUUAGUUUUUAAAGGUAGAUCCAAGUCACCCUAUG
rnacentral:lncRNA from 1 species